rnacentral:lncRNA from 1 species
AAAUGGGAUGGACUAAUGUUACUGGACCAACUAACUUAAAUGAUGGAGGAAUAUAAAACAGAACCAUAGCCGCCUGGCUGUUGGUUUUUCAAAAGGAAUAAAUUAAUUGGUAAAGAUAACCAUAAAUACGUUACUAAAUACCCAUAAACCAAAAUUAAUGACCAACUAAGGGGAACUAAAUGGUCACUUAAAAUGGGAUUUAAUAGUCUGUUUAGGAAAGAACAAAUAGUAAAUAAAAAAAAUAAAAUAAAAGAAAAAGUGAGAAUGCAGAUGGGAUUCCCAGAACUCAAUCGUCCUCCUCCCAACUUUCGUUCUCCAAAACUCUCUAUCUCACAACUCUCUCAACCUUCGCCGUUACCAAA